GGGCGCUGGAACACCUAAGGCCAGCCCUGGCCAGAGUGGUAAGUGGUCUGUUGGUUCGAGCUCAUCGGUGGCUCCGAACCUGGUGGUGUAGGGGUGUCUUGGUACACCCCUACAGUUAAGAAAGUUAUGGUUAUGGGGCCUCUUUGGUAGGCCAUGUGUUAUAUAUUAUGUGUUAUUUAUAUUGUUAUAUAUUGUUUAAGGUAUGGUGUCAUUGCCAGGGGUAAUUCUGUACGGAAGGGGAUGGUAGUAAAUAUGCGGCAAUGACCC